ensembl:lncRNA
AGAGUAGAGUAUGCUCUCUGAAAGGAGGAGUUUAGACUGAAUCCUUUAGAACGGAUAAUUUAAUGAGUCGUUUUUGACGCUGGGGAAAAAAGGGUUAUAAUCCUGAGGUCUGGCUAAACUUCAACCAUCAACUGGGGGAAACAUCCAAACAGGAGAAUGGAGAACAUUUCUUCUUACGACUCUUCACAAAUUCAUCAGUGAGUUGGGCAAGGAUUGGGACCAGUGGCUGUGCUACCUCCUGUUUGCAUAUAGAGAAGUUCCCCAGGCCUGGACUGGAUUCUCUCCUUUUGAGUUGAUAUAUGGACAUGAGGUGAGAGGCCCUUUGACCCUACUUCAAGAACUGUGGGAAGUAACCCAGGGUAGUGGGGACCUGUAAAUGUGAUCUAUGUUGUGCAGAUGAGGGAAUGGUUGGAGGCAAUGAUGAAACUGGCUCAAACUCACAUAGCUGAAGCACAAAGCUACCAGAAGUCAUGGUAUGAUCAGUUCGCUUGUGAGCGGAGUUUUAACCCUGGCCAGAAACUGCUGGUGUCAAGAGAGCAAACUAUUAGCGAAAUGGCAGGGUCCAUUUGAGAUCAAGCGGAAGCUGGAGGAGCCGGUCACAGAAUGUGUUAAUUUAGAUCAUUUGCCAAAGUGUCAGCAAUUGCAGGUCAGAGCUCUUUGCCACCCUGACC